rnacentral:rRNA from 1 species
AUUUUCCGGUUGAUCCUGCCGGAGGUCACUGCUAUCGGUGUUCGACUAAGCCAUGCGAGUCAAAUGUUCUUCGUGAACAUGGCGUACUGCUCAGUAACACGUGGAUAACCUGCCCUUAGGUCUGGCAUAACCCCGGGAAACUGGGGAUAAUUCCGGAUAGAUCAUAGAUGCUGGAAUGCGCUGUGAUCCAAAGCUAUUGUGCCUAAGGAUGGGUCUGCGGUCUAUCAGGUUGUAGUGGGUGUAAUGUACCUACUAGCCUACGACGGAUACGGGUUGUGGGAGCAAGAGCCCGGAGAUGGAUUCUGAGACAUGAAUCCAGGCCCUACGGGGCGCAGCAGGCGCGAAAACUUUACAAUGCGGGGAACCGCGAUAAGGGGACACCGAGUGCCAGCAUCCUAUGUUGGCUGUCCAUAUGUCUAAAUCACAUGUGUUAGCAAGGGCCGGGCAAGACCGGUGCCAGCCGCCGCGGUAACACCGGCGGCCCGAGUGGUGGCCACUAUUAUUGGGUCUAAAGGGUCCGUAGCCGGUUUGGUCAGUCUUCCGGGAAAUCUGACGGCUUAACCGCUAGGCUUUCGGGGGAUACUACCAGGCUUGGGACCGGGAGAGGUAAGAGGUACUACGGGGGUAGGAGUGAAAUCUUGUAAUCCCUGUGGGACCACCAGUGGCGAAGGCGUCUUACCAGAACGGGUCCGACGGUGAGGGACGAAAGCUGGGGGCACGAACCGGAUUAGAUACCCGGGUAGUCCCAGCUGUAAACUAUGCUCGCUAGGUGUCAGGGACGGUGCGACCGUUUCUGGUGCCGCAGGGAAGCCGUGAAGCGAGCCACCUGGGAAGUACGGUCGCAAGGCUGAAACUUAAAGGAAUUGGCGGGGGAGCACUACAACGGGUGGAGCCUGCGGUUUAAUUGGAUUCAACGCCGGAAAU